rnacentral:rRNA from 1 species
CCCUAGUAACUGCGAGUGAGCGGGAAAAGCUCAAAUUUAAAAUCUGGUGGCCUUUGGUCAUCCGAGUUGUAAUUUAGAGAAGCGUCUUCCGCGCUGGACCGUGCACAAGUCUCCUGGAACGGAGCGUCAUAGAGGGUGAGAAUCCCGUCUUUGGCACGGACAUGCCAGGGCUUUUGUGAUGCGCUCUCGAAGAGUCGAGUUGUUUGGGAAUGCAGCUCAAAAUGGGUGGUGAACUCCAUCUAAAGCUAAAUAUUGGCGAGAGACCGAUAGCGAACAAGUACCGUGAGGGAAAGAUGAAAAGCACUUUGGAAAGAGAGUGAAACAGUACGUGAAAUUGUUGAAAGGGAAACGCUUGAAGUCAGUCGCGUCGACCGAGACUCAGCCUUGCCUUGGCUUGGUGUACUUCUCGGCUGACGGGUCAGCAUCAAUUUUGCCCCUUGGAUAAUGGCGAGGGAAAUGUGACACCUUUACGGUGUGUUAUAGUCUCUUGUCGCAUGCAAGGGUUGGGAUUGAGGAACUCAGCACGCGCCUUUGGGUGUCGGGGUAUUCGCCCACGAUACGUGCUUAGGAUGUUGGCGUAAUGGCUUUAAACGACCCGUCUUGAAACACGGACCAAGGAGUCUAACAUGCCUGCGAGUGUUCGGGUGGAAAACCCGUGCGCGCAAUGAAAGUGAAAGUUGGGACCUCUGUCGUGGAGGGCACCGACGCCCGGACCAGACCUUUUGUGACGGCUCUGCGGUAAAGCAUGUAUGUUAGGACCCGAAAGAUGGUGAACUAUGCCUGAAUAGGGUGAAGCCAGAGGAAACUCUGGUGGAGGCUCGUAGCGAUUCUGACGUGCAAAUCGAUCGUCAAAUUUGGGUAUAGGGGCGAAAGACUAAUCGAACAUCUAGUA